GGGGGGACGCGGUGCGUAUGCGGAGUCCGGGUGGAGUUGGUUCUGCGCGCCUGCUGCUUGUGGCCCCUGAUCUCCUCGAGGGCGAGGUUUUUCUGCCCGUUUCGCUCGUCUUUGUGGCUUUAAUCCAUAUGGAGGUGCGAGUUGCUCCCUUUCCCGGAUACGCGUUUCCACGCCUCAUCCGUCUCGGCGCUGGAUUUGAGCUAUGCUCGCAUCUGUUUCACUUUGUCGUCUGAUACCGGCGCUUGAUAUGGACGAUAUGCAGAUUCUGGUAUACGUUUUUCACGGGAAAAGCUAUGUGCGUUCUCCGGACUGCACCCGGUGCCUGUUGUGCUUGUUAUUCGCCUUCGGGGGCAGGCUAUCUGUCUGCACCACCUGGCCAUGAAAGCCGCCACAACCUUGUCAAAUGGUAAAAAAGGGGGCAUUUUCUUUCUAGUACUGACCUGGAUCUGGAGGCAAAUCCAACAUGGAAGCCGAAUCUCAGUCACGCACUUCCACAUUCCCUUGACCCGAGAUCAAACUCUAUAUUCGAAAUUACUGGACGUAUGAGCACGAACGGAGUCUGCCUAGUCUGAAGUGACAUCCCCGGCGCUCAUCAUCACUCACUACUUCGAAACUGGGCAGGCUGGAGUCUUGUAGAGGGGGGUAGAAUUCCAGGUGUAGCGGUGAAAUGCGUAAGAUCUGGAGGAAUACCGGUGGCGAAGGCGGCCCCCUGGACAAGACUGACGCUCAGGUGCGAAAGCGUGGGGAGCAAACAGGAUUAAAUACCCUGGUAGUCCACGCCGUAAACAUGUCAAUUGGAGGGUGUGCCCUUGAGGCGUGGCUUCCGGAGCUAACGCGUA
rnacentral:rRNA from 1 species